rnacentral:rRNA from 1 species
AGUGAACGCUGGCGGUAGGCCUAACACAUGCAAGUCGAACGGCAGCACAGGAGAGCUUGCUCUCUGGGUGGCGAGUGGCGGACGGGUGAGGAAUACGUCGGAAUCUACUCUGUCGUGGGGGAUAACGUAGGGAAACUUACGCUAAUACCGCAUACGACCUACGGGUGAAAGCAGGGGACCUUCGGGCCUUGCGCGAUUGAAUGAGCCGAUGUCGGAGUGGCUAGUUGGCGGGGUAAAGGCCCACCAAGGCGACGAUCCGUAGGUGGUCUGGGGGGAUGAUCAGCCACACUGGAACUGAGACACGGUCCAGACUCCUACGGGAGGCAGCAGUGGGGAAUAUUGGACAAUGGGCGCAAGCCUGAUCCAGCCAUACCGCGUGGGUGAAGAAGGCCUUCGGGUUGUAAAGCCCUUUUGUUGGGAAAGAAAUCCAGCUGGCUAAUACCCGGUUGGGAUGACGGUACCCAAAGAAUAAGCACCGGCUAACUUCGUGCCAGCAGCCGCAGUAA